GCGCCGGCGCGUAGCGCCCGUUGCGCCUCAAGGUAGCGCUGGCGUUCCGACUUCAGCGCCUCAUCAGCCCCGGCCGGUGCGACCGCCAGUAGCACCAGCAGCAACA
rnacentral:snoRNA from 1 species